rnacentral:ncRNA from 1 species
GAAUCAAAUAGCUCUUCAGGUGCUCUGCUGUGCAGAGAGAAUAGGGAAACCGGUGAGAGUCCGGUACGGUCCCGCCACUGUAAUCAGCAUUAUUUGCAUUAACGUCACUGCGUUCGCGUGGGAAGGCGUUAAUGAUUCCGUGCUGUAAGUCAGGAGACCUGCCUGAAGAGAUGGAGCGGA